UUCCGGUUGAUCCUGCCGGACCCUACUGCUAUCGGGGUGGGACUAAGACAUGCGUGUCGCCCAAGCCAACAGAGGCAUACGGCUCAGUAACACGUGGCUAACCUACCCUCGAGACAGGGACAACCCCGGGAAACUGGGGCUAAUCCCAGAUAGAUGAGAACCCCUGGAAUGGGUUUUCGUCCAAAAGGCCGCGCGCUCAAGGAUGGGGCCGCGUCCGAUCAGGCUGUUGGUGAGGCAAUGGCUCACCAAACCUAUAACCGGUACGGGCCGUGGGAGCGGGAGCCCGGAGAUGGGAACUGAGACAAGGUCCCAGGCCCUACGGGGCGCAGCAGCUACGAAAACUGCACAAUGUGGGAAACCACGAUGCGGGCAUACCGAGUGCCAACGCUUUAGGUUGGCUGUUCUCUCUCCUAAAAAGCGAGAGAAGUAAGGGCCGGGUAAGAUCGGGUGCCAGCCGCCGCGGUAAUACCCGCGGCCCGAGUGGUGCUCAUUAUUAUUGAGCUUAAAGCGUCCGUAGCCAGCCUUGUAAAUCUUUGGGUAAAUCGGGCAGCUUAACUGUUCGAAUUCCGAGGAGACUGCGAGGCUCGGGACCGGGAGAGGUUCGAGGUACUCCGGGGGUAGGGGUAAAAUCCUGUAAUCCUCAGAGGACCACCAGUGGCGAAGGCGUCGAACUAGAACGGGUCUGACGGUGAGGGACGAAGCCCUGGGGAGCAAACGGGAUUAGAUACCCCGGUAGUCCAGGGUGUAAACGCUGCUCGUUUGAUGUUAGUCGGGCUCCGAGCCCAACUAGUGUCGGAGAGAAGUUGUUAAACGAGCUGCCUGGGAAGUACGGUCGCAAGGCUGAAACUUAAAGGAAUUGGCGGGGGAGCACCACAAGGGGUGAAGCUUGCGGUUUAAUUGGAUUCAACGCCGGA
rnacentral:rRNA from 1 species